AUUGAACGCUGGCGGCAGGCCUAACACAUGCAAGUCGAACGAGUGGCGGACGGGUGAGUAAUGUCUGGGAAACUGCCUGAUGGAGGGGGAUAACUACUGGAAACGGUAGCUAAUACCGCAUACCAUCGGAUGUGCCCAGAUGGGAUUAGCUAGUAGGUGGGGUAACUGAUCACCUAGGCGAAGAUCCCUAGCUGGUCUGAGAGGAUGACCAGCCAUGCUGGAACUGAGACACGGUACAGACUCCUACGGUGGGCAGUAGUGGGUAAGAUUGCACAAUGGGCGCAAGCCUGAUGCAGCCAUGCGGCGUGUAUGAAGAAGGCCUGCGGGUUGUAAAGUACUUUCAGCGGGGAGGCGUGACCCGCAGAAGAAGCACCGGCUAACUCCGUGCCAGCAGCCGCGGUAAUAC
rnacentral:rRNA from 1 species